AUUGAACGCUGGCGGCAUGCCUUACACAUGCAAGUCGAACGGUAACAGGUCUUCGGAUGCUGACGAGUGGCGAACGGGUGAGUAAUACAUCGGAACGUGCCUAGUAGUGGGGGAUAACUACUCGAAAGAGUGGCUAAUACCGCAUGAGAUCUACGGAUGAAAGCAGGGGAUCGCAAGACCUUGUGCUACUAGAGCGGCCGAUGGCAGAUUAGGUAGUUGGUGGGAUAAAAGCUUACCAAGCCGACGAUCUGUAGCUGGUCUGAGAGGACGAUCAGCCACACUGGGACUGAGACACGGCCCAGACUCCUACGGGAGGCAGCAGUGGGGAAUUUUGGACAAUGGGCGCAAGCCUGAUCCAGCAAUGCCGCGUGCAGGAUGAAGGCCUUCGGGUUGUAAACUGCUUUUGUGCGGAACGAAAAGCCCCGGGUUAAUACCCUGGGGUCAUGACGGUACCGUAAGAAUAAGCACCGGCUAACUACGUGCCAGCCGCCGCCGUAA
rnacentral:rRNA from 1 species